CAGCCGCCGCGGGAAUACGAAGGGUGCAAGCGUUAAUCGGAAUUACUGGGCGUAAAGCGUGCGUAGGCGGUGAGUUAAGUCUGCUGUGAAAUCCCCGGGCUCAACCUGGGAAUGGCAGUGGAUACUGGCUCGCUAGAGUGUGUCAGAGGAUGGUGGAAUUCCCGGUGUAGCGGUGAAAUGCGUAGAGAUCGGGAGGAACAUCAGUGGCGAAGGCGGCCACCUGGGACAACACUGACGCUGAGGCACGAAAGCGUGGGGAGCAAACAGGAUUAGAUACCCCAGUAGUCCCUGUCUCUUAUAC
rnacentral:rRNA from 1 species